CCACUAUCGGUGCGCCUCGCUCCAGAGGAUGGAUGAGAGGGGCUGGCAGUCCGGACUGAUGCGGAAACAUCAACAUCUUGAUGGAGAAAACUAGAGGAGUCCCUUUAAGAUGACACGCACAGACCCUCCUGACUUACUGGUAUCAACUGUGCAUCGAGAUAUUAAAGUGAUCCCCAUUUCUACACACUACAAGUCCUUCCAACCCUCCAAACAAUGUGAUUCUAUAAACUACACACUGGAGGACAGUAAGAGCAAAGUCAAUAAGAGGCACUGCUGUACUUUUGACUGUAAGUCAUUGGAGUACAAAAAAUCACACAAAUACUCAAUGGAGUCCCCGUACAAGAAGGCUGAUAGGCAUGCGCCUAACCCAGAUGUUGCCUGGAAUGCCUUGGGCCGCCAGCAGAGAUACCGCUUCUCUGCUCCGGACAUUUUCAGCCAUAGGCUACCUCCUCAACCACUGGCUGCAGAUAUGCCCAGUGAAGUCAUUGUCCCUGAACAAAAAAGAAGGACCAGGUCAAGAAGUGCCCCUCGGGUCCAGACCAGUCUCACCCCUGUGUCUUUUGAAGUGCCCACCUCGUCGGGGAGGAAGGGCAGGGAGUCCCAAAGGGCUACAAGGGAUUCCCGCUGGAGGCCUGAAGUAUCACCGCGUAGGGAGUCUUCCCAUGCGGCAACUAGGGCUCAUAUGCAUGACGUCCAUCCCAUUAAAUUGCAGCCACAAAUUGCUGACAGUAGUAGGUACUCGCCUCACUAUGCUGCUGAUAAUUCUGAGGAAGGAGCGCUGGAUAAACCUGCAACUAGCCCUCAUGUGAGGUGCCGGGUGGACAUCAAACCUGAUGAUGCGGCGCUGCAUCAUUCUGGACGGCAACAGGCUACACCUCAUGUGGACAUACCCUGGCAGAGGCACCACAGUGGGGGGAGUAGGAGUCUUACCGUGCCACGCCAUUUCUCUUACUCGAGAACACCAACUCCCACUGAUUCGUUAGGUCGAGAGGGUAGGCAAGCUUAUCAAUAUUCCCGCAGCAUGCCCAAUAGUUACAUGCAACCCAUGGAGAUUCCCUUGCAAAGAACGACUUCCUCAGGGGAAUACUAUGGAAGGGAGCGCAGAGCUCAUUCAAGUCCUAAUGUGCCGACCAAGUUCUUUUAUGCAGAUGACCCAGGGAGAUAUGUAACUUCUGUUCCACCUCAGCCAACAUCUCGCUUUCAUGACGAACGCUACACACCUGGACAAACAAAUACUCCAAAAGUGCAAUAUGUGCAAGAUCCAAGGACUCGAAUGGUGCACGCCGUAGCAACGAGACCCUAUUAUCCUGAGGUGGAAACCUAUCCCUACGCUGUGCAGUCCGGGUAUCCCAAACCCUAUGCACCCAGUGAACCCGGGCCAUACAUCAUACAGACACCGCCAACAAGAAUAUUUUAUGGGGAUGAUCCAAGGUCUUAUCAAAUCCAAACGACGCCACCUAGGUUUUAUUAUUCCAGCGACAUGUACGCAACGCCGCCAGAGCACCAUGUCCCGGCAAGGGCGUAUUACACCGAGGGCCGAAGACAUGCCAGAGUGAUUCAGGCACAAACGGAUGACUGGUAUGGCUCAGAUGCAUCGGGUUAUUCCACCAAUCCUGCGUCUUAUGUGUCUCAAGUCACUCCAACCAGGGUCCGUCCAGAGCCUGUGCUGGCACCCUGGUAUACCAACCCAUGUGUAGAACCUCCAAGAAUUGGCACAGAAUCUAAAUCUUACUCAAGGUCCUGGGACAAUAUUCUCAACUCUCGUGUGGAGAGGGAACAACCUAUUCCUGUACAGCGGGGUCAAAGCUAUGAUGAUCUUCUUGACUCCAGGAAGCCCGCAGCAGCCACCGGCGACAAACCGCAACCCGUGGUAGUCAAUCUUUCCAGUUCACCGAGACGUUAUGCGGCCUUAUCUAUGUCUGAUAACUCACUCGUUGACAAAAGCCCAACAGAGACAUCGAAGGGCAGUGCUAGUAAACUCUGGUUUGUGACUCCUGAGAUAACAAUCACUGAUAAUGACAUGCGACCCGGGAAACUUAAUAAGGCUGAAGGACGGUCUGCCAGUUGGGACGUUCUUGACUCCAGAAGCACAGAAGAUCCAGGACUGUCUCAACGGGACUUUGAAAGCUCAACCAAAGAGAAGACACACGACAAUGCCUCACUACAGCAAAGCCUUGAACAACUUGAUGAGCUUCUGGCAGAUCUUGUGACUGAUUACAAGCCACCCAGUCGAAGGGCAAGUGAGGACAUUCUUGAUCAAUUAAAGAAGUUAAUUGAUGAGGAGGAAGCAGUAUCUCUGUCCAGAAAGAGCUCAAGGGCAUUUACAGAUGAGCCACCUCCUCUUGACAAGCAGCCAACCUCAAUAAGAAUUAAUCCUGAUGCUUUCCAUGACAUCGGGGGCAGUGAUGCUAUGAAGAGUGCUGAUGAAUGCUCCCCGGAUCAGAGCCCGGAUGAGGAUGAUACAAUGAUGUGCUCUAACAACAAAUGCAGGAGGACAGAGACCCUGUUCAAUGCUUGCCUAUAUUUCAAAUCGUGCCACAGCUGCUACACCUACUACUGCUCCCGAAACUGUCGCAGGGAGGACUGGGACAUUCAUAAAGAAAGCUGCCUGUAUGGAAGAAUGGGAAGCAUAUGUCGUCACAUCAUCAAACACUGCCGGGAGACUGUUGAAGUCCACAAAGCCUUCUCCCGUAUCGCCAAAGUUGGCUACCUUUCGCGAGGUAGAGGAGUUCUGUUCCUCGGUUUUCCCAAUCCUGCAUCCUCAAGUAACUUCCUGCAGUAUGGCCUGGAUACUCUACCAAUGUCUCCUACGUACCUCUCCCUCCGAGAGCUUGAAAGCUUCAAGGACAACCUAGGGGAGUACUGUAAGGAGCUUCAGGAAGCCGGUAAAGAGUACGACCCUAACGAAUGUUUCAUCUUGAAUGUAUCCAUUGCUGUUGGUGACCAACUGCCUGAGGGGCCAUCACCGAGGAACGAAGCUCCGACUGUCAGAAAAUAUGCAAAGGUAGCACUGGCUUCCUUUAGCCCUGAGAGAAAGGUUCACAAGAAAGAGACCGACAUGGAAACGCUGAUCCUCACUCCUCCCCCUGGAACGGCAGAUAUCGACAAAGAGGGAGAGGAAGGCAGGAAGGCGAGGGAGAUCUGUUUUAUAAAUAUACAACGCGAGUUAAGGAUUAGAGGGGUUUUCCUACGCCAUGAAUACCCACAGGUGUAUCAGCAGCUCUGUGAGUUUGUGGAAAGUAACAGAAGGUUCACCCCCACGACUAUUUAUCCUAUCGAUAAGAGGACCGGUAAACAGUUUAUGUGCAUGAUCAUGGCUGCCUCUGAGCCCCGGACAUUGGACUGGGUGGGCACCCCGCAUCUCCUCGAUGACAUCAUUUAAGUGCACCUUUUGUUGUAAAUAUAUAUGUAUAGAAAUACAUAUAUAUUGCUACACAUAUUUAUAUAUCAAUCCAAUUACAAACGUUUGUAAAUAAGUAUUUUGUUAUCAAAAUGAUAUAUAUUCAUGUCUCCUUGGUCAGUAUUAUUCUUUUUCAGAAUAUGUCCUGUCAGGUGCAGAAUGAGUACUGAACAUUAUUUAGUUUCAUCUUUUUACCAAGUACAUAUUUUUAUCCACCACGUUAUUGAUCUGUAACCCGUCACACAUUCCCAUUAGUAGGGGUUACCUGCUGACAUGGUAUUUUAAUUUUUGCUCAUUGUUAGCAACAACUCUAUGUCUUUAUCCUCUUUAUAUGACUCAGUUUCUGUAUGUGAGUAUAACAUGACUAUUUUUCAUAUGCAACUUUAACGGUAUAUCAUGCAGAAAAUAUUAAACCUUAUUUUCUUAGCCACGUAAAUACUUUCUAUGCAAAGUUGCUUCAUGACUUAAGUACCAGAUUCCUGUAGAAUGAGUUGUUUCUGUUAUAUAUGACAUACUAUUAUACACAUCUGUAAAGAAAGUUUUGCUAAAACUGAGAUCAAAGUGUUGGUGGCAAAAUAAAUCAUAAGAAAAUGAUGAGGAAAAAAAAAACGCUGAAUCAUCGAUAAAAAAAAAACAGGCACGAAGUCUAAAUGUUGCUUAGGUAGAAGUACUGUACUAAAAGGUAACGUUUCACUUUGACGGCGUGCUCUGGAGAAUUCAAGCUACAUUCAGUGGUUCUUUGAUUCUGCUCUGCGGGAUUACUGGAGCACUGCUGGACUUGAAAGCGACCUCCACAAAGGAGACUGGGAUGGUGCCAGUUCCCGGCCACACAGUAGGUGUUGGCCUGUGUUCAGUUUUAAACACUGUGAAUAGUGAGAGUUACAAAAACAAGAGAUCAUGCAAUUUCCUGUAACACGGAUGUUAUGACGAGUUGUAUUUUUUAGAUAUGUUUACAAAUCAAAAUAUAUGAAUUAGCAGAAAGGAGUUAUUGUCCUUAGAACAAGGUGAGCCAGGUGUGGCACAGUAGCUAUAUGGUGCAUACAUGCUUGAAAAAGACAUUAGUUGUGUAUUUGUGCUGCACUAGUUUUAUGACGUGUGAUUUAUAUUGUCCUUUUUGGGUUUAGCAAACGAGAACCUUUGCAUUGCUCAUUGGUUGCAGAAGUUUUAGAGAGAUUUAUCAAUGCAACUUAGCCAUGUUGCCUCAUCUAAAGACACAGUAUGUUUCGUAGUUUUGUUCCGGUAGCGUCCUCAGUCCCUGAUUUCCUGCCAGCACGCUGAAGAGGGUUUGAAUCUUACAGGUCUUUCUCUAACUUUGCUCGGUGUUUCACUUUGGGGGAUCACUUUGCCCUAACCAGAGGAGAAGAAGUACUCAGAUCUUGAGUAGAAGUAGAAGUACUCAGAUCUUGAGUAGAAGUAGAAGUACUCAGAUCUUGAGUAGAAGUAGAAGUACUCAGAUCUUGAGUAGAAGUAGAAGUACUCAGAUCUUGUACUUGAGUAAAGUAGAAGUACUCAGAUCUUGUACUUGAGUAAAAUAGAAGUACUCAGAUCUUGUACUUGAGUAAAGU